rnacentral:rRNA from 1 species
AGCAGCCGCGGUAAUUCCAGCUCCAAUAGCGUAUAUUAAAGUUGUUGCAGUUAAAAAGCUCGUAGUUGAAUUUCGGGAUCAAUACGUCGGUCGUGCUUCGGUACGUACUGGCGUAAUUGAUUUCUCCCUUCUGACGAACCAUGAUGUCAUUAACUUGGUGUCAUGGGAAAUCAGGACUGUUACUUUGAAAAAAUUAGAGUGUUUAAAGCAGGCUCACGCUUGAAUACAUUAGCAUGGAAUAAUGAAAUAGGACGUUCGAUCCUAUUUUGUUGGUUUUUAGGAUCAACGUAAUGAUUAAUAGGGAUAGUUGGGGGCAUUAGUAUUCAAUUGUCAGAGGUGAAAUUCUUGGAUUUAUUGAAGACUAACUACUGCGAAAGCAUUUGCCAAGGAUGUUUUCAUUAAUCAAGAACGAAAGUUAGGGGAUCGAAGACGAUCAGAUACCGUCGUAGUCUUAACCAUAAACCAUGCCGACUAGGGAUCGGAUGAUGUUAAUUUUUAAUGACUCAUUCGGCGCCUUAAC